rnacentral:lncRNA from 1 species
UUAAAUGUGACUUUUGUUAAUAAGCUCAGUUUUCAUCACUGCAGGUUAUGUGGACAUUUUAUUUUGAAGAGGGAACAUCACUGUUCUAACCAAUAAUUGCUAAACAACCUUUAAAGUUUCUCAGUGUGAUUUGUUCUAGCACUGGCUUCCUUCAGCCCCAUGAUGCAGAACAAUUGGUGACUGGGGACGCACAGCUGAAGGUGUUUCACUGCUUUAUUUCCUCUGCCUCUGAAUUGUCAGACUUGUGAGCAUCUAUCUGGCACAUGGAACUGAAUUUGUACUUGGGCAAGGGUGGAGUCCAAAGUGACAAUUUUGGAGAAGGAGUUUCAGCCCUUUUUUACCUGGAGGCCUUCAGUCCAGCCCACCAUGGUCCAUCUCAAGAGAAUGAUGUGCUGCUGACUAAAAACGAGCUCGGUGUAAAAAUCUGUUGAUUGGCAAUUUCCAAUAGGAAAUGUGAAACCCCUGUGACACUGUCUGAGUGAUCUGCUAUGGAGAGAUGCAUCCCACGCUGCAGGCAUGUUCAGCUGAAUGGGAAAUAGGCCAGUAUUUAUAGAAACUGAGCCUUCCUUCGUGGCACCGAGAGCCUGCCUUUUCUUCCGCAUCAAGACGCUUUGCCAUUUCGUUCUGGAAAAUGGAAUUUCCAAGCUGUUGAAUUGCAGAGAUCCAGGCAAUUACAAAGCUCUGAGCUGGACUGCUUUCAGAUUUCUUUGUAUUAUUCUGUCUGAUACAAAGAUUUUCUACAUGGCUCCAUUCUAAUCUCUGGUGCAUGUCUGACAAACUGAUUUGAAGAUCUACAUUUGUUGAUAAAGGUCACAAAACAACAAAAAAAGAAUAGCGAGAGGUAAGAAUUUUUCAGUUUGGUUUCAUAAUGACAAAUCUUUGUUUCCUGUUCUCUGUGGCACUUGUGAUACUUGUUAAGGACAGUGAAAUAUCUUGUUGCCAAGGAUUCCUUUUUACUAAUAGGUACAAGAAAACUAAAAACAGAAAGAAGGGGAUAAGGUCAAAGUGUAAAGACUUUUGUGGUUAACAAUUAUCUCAGCAUUUCCUGGGGAGAGGAUGUGACAUUUUCCAUCAGUUAUUAAGAUGGGAAGGCAGGUGCAAGACUCAGAUUUGGGUGGAAGCAGUGGAGGUCCCACGGCAGGAGAUUCACACAUUUGUGCUGACUAGAAAGCUGCCCACAAACCCUGUGAACAGAGUUGCUGGAAUGAUAACAAUUUUCUUUUGGGAAAUACUAAAAUUUUUAACCUGUCACUUCUACAGUAGAAUUUUUCUCUGCUUUGCUAAAGGACAAGGAGGCAGAAUGUUGUGAAUUGAAAAGAUUACUUGUCGUUCCAGCAAGCAGGACACAGAUUUGGGCUACCAGGACUAACAAAAGAGCAAUAAUAUCUUCCUUUGAUAUUAUUCUUGUUAGAAUUUUAUGGGAAAGUAGCUUAAGAGUUUGGUACUGAUGUCAAGCAAAAUAAAUGAAUUUUCAAUCCAAAGCA